AGAGUUUGAUCCUGGCUCAGAUUGAACGCUGGCGGCAUGCCUUACACAUGCAAGUCGAACGGCAGCGCGGGGCAACCUGGCGGCGAGUGGCGAACGGGUGAGUAAUAUAUCGGAACGUACCCUGGAGUGGGGGAUAACGUAGCGAAAGUUACGCUAAUACCGCAUACGAUCUAAGGAUGAAAGUGGGGGAUCGCAAGACCUCAUGCUCCUGGAGCGGCCGAUAUCUGAUUAGCUAGUUGGUGGGGUAAAGGCCCACCAAGGCAUCGAUCAGUAGCUGGUCUGAGAGGACGACCAGCCACACUGGAACUGAGACACGGUCCAGACUCCUACGGGAGGCAGCAGUGGGGAAUUUUGGACAAUGGGCGCAAGCCUGAUCCAGCAAUGCCGCGUGAGUGAAGAAGGCCUUCGGGUUGUAAAGCUCUUUUGUCAGGGAAGAAACGGCCUGUUCUAAUACAGUGGGCUAAUGACGGUACCUGAAGAAUAAGCACCGGCUAACUACGUGCCAGCAGCCGCGGUAAUACGUAGGGUGCAAGCGUUAAUCGGAAUUACUGGGCGUAAAGCGUGCGCAGGCGGUUUUGUAAGUCUGCCGUGAAAUCCCCGGGCUCAACCUGGGAAUGGCGAUGGAGACUGCAAGGCUAGAGUUUGGCAGAGGGGGGUAGAAUUCCACGUGUAGCAGUGAAAUGCGUAGAUAUGUGGAGGAACACCGAUGGCGAAGGCAGCCCCCUGGGUCAAAACUGACGCUCAUGCACGAAAGCGUGGGGAGCAAACAGGAUUAGAUACCCUGGUAGUCCACGCCCUAAACGAUGUCUACUAGUUGUCGGGUCUUAAUUGACUUGGUAACGCAGCUAACGCGUGAAGUAGACCGCCUGGGGAGUACGGUCGCAAGAUUAAAACUCAAAGGAAUUGACGGGGACCCGCACAAGCGGUGGAUGAUGUGGAUUAAUUCGAUGCAACGCGAAAAACCUUACCUACCCUUGACAUGGAAGGAAUCCCGGAGAGAUUUGGGAGUGCCCGAAAGGGAACCUUUACACAGGUGCUGCAUGGCUGUCGUCAGCUCGUGUCGUGAGAUGUUGGGUUAAGUCCCGCAACGAGCGCAACCCUUGUCAUUAGUUGCUACGAAAGAGCACUCUAAUGAGACUGCCGGUGACAAACCGGAGGAAGGUGGGGAUGACGUCAAGUCCUCAUGGCCCUUAUGAGUAGGGCUUCACACGUCAUACAAUGGUACAUACAGAGGGCCGCCAACCCGCGAGGGGGAGCUAAUCCCAGAAAGUGUAUCGUAGUCCGGAUUGUAGUCUGCAACUCGACUGCAUGAAGUUGGAAUCGCUAGUAAUCGCGGAUCAGCAUGUCGCGGUGAAUACGUUCCCGGGUCUUGUACACACCGCCCGUCACACCAUGGGAGCGGGUUUUACCAGAAGUAGGUAGCUUAACCGUAAGGAGGGCGCUUACCACGGUAGGAUUCGUGACUGGGGUGAAGUCGUAACAAGGUA
rnacentral:rRNA from 1 species